rnacentral:rRNA from 1 species
UACGUAGGGGGCAAGCGUUGUCCGGAAUCAUUGGGCGUAAAGCGCGUGUAGGCGGCCCGAUAAGUCCGCUGUGAAAGUCCAGGGCUCAACCCUGGGAUGCCGGUGGAUACUGUCGGGCUCGAGUCCGGAAGAGGCGAGUGGAAUUCCUGGUGUAGCGGUGAAAUGCGCAGAUAUCAGGAGGAACACCAAUGGCGAAGGCAGCUCGCUGGGACGGUAUUGACGCUGAGACGCGAAAUCGUGGGGAGCAAACAGG